AUAUGGUCAAGCGAAGAAAUAGGUUUAUGGCGAAUGCCUAUGGAGCUGAGAGGCGAAGAAGGCCGUGGUAAGCUGCGAAAAGUUCCGUGUAGGAGCACACAUCCUGUGAUACGGAAAUAGCCGAAUGGGGUAACCCGUUAGUAGUGAUACUAACAUUACGCUCUUGAAUAAAAUAGAGAGGUAAAGCGAUACUGAGUGAACUGAACCAUCUAAGUAACUCAAGGAAAAGAAAUCAAAAGAGAUUCCGAAAGUAGCGGCGAGCGAAAUUGGAGGAGCCUAAACCCUUAUAGAGGGAGUUGAAGGGCUGCAUCGGCGUGGGACCGACAAGUGAUAAAUUCGAUUUAUAGCAGAAAGGUUUUGGGAAAGCCUGGCGAAGAGGGUGAAACCCCCGUAAGCGAAAUAAAUCGAACUUGUUGAUGCAGUACCUGAGUACGGCGGGGCACGAGGAAUCCUGUCGGAAAUCGGGUCGACCACGAUCCAAGGCUAAAUACUACUCAAGCUACCGAUAGUGAACAAGUACCGUGAGGGAAAGGUGAAAAGAACCCCAGUAAGGGGAGUGAAAUAGAACCUGAAACCGUAAACCAACAAGAUGUUACAGCCCCUUUAUGGGGUAGUAGCGUGCCUUUUGUAGAAUGAGCCUGCGAGUUACGAUAUGCAGCGAGGUUAAGGAAUAGUAGUUCCGGAGCCUAAGGGAAACCGAGUCUUAAUAGGGCGUAUCAGCGAAAGCUGAAGUUUAGUUGCAUGUCGUAGACCCGAAGCCGGAGUGAUCUAGUCAUGAGCAGGUUGAAGCAAGGGUAAAACCUUGUGGAGGACCGAACUAUAAUCUGUUAAAAAAGGUAUGGAUGACUUGUGACUAGGAGUGAAAGGCUAAUCAAACCCGGAAAUAGCUGGUUCUCCCCGAAAUGCCUUUAGGGACAGCCUCAUAUAAAAUUAUCGGAGGUAAAGCACUAGUUGGACUAGGGGGCGUCAAAGCCUACCAAACCCAGUUAAACUCUGAAUGCCGAUAAUCAACGUAUGGGAGUGAGACUGCGUGCGCUAAGGUUCGCAAGUCAAAAGGGAAACAGCCCAGACCGUCAGCUAAGGUCCCCAAAUACUGCUUGAGUGUGAAAUGAAGUGUGGAUACCUAGACAGCCAGGAGGUUGGCUUAGAAGCAGCAAUUCCUUUAAAGAGUGCGUAACAGCUCACUGGUCGAGUGUCCAUGCGCAGAUAAUGUAACGGGGCUAAGCAGUAUACCGAAGCUACGGGUCUUAUGCAUUUUUGAGCAUAAGGCGGUAGGGGAGCAUUCCAUUAACUGAUGAAGGCAUACUCGCGAGAGGUGCUGGAGGAAAUGGAAGAGAGAAUGCAGGUAUAAGUAACGAAAAGGGAGGUGAGAUCCCUCCCCGCCGAAAAUCUAAGGUUUCCUGGGUAAAGGUAAUCUUCCCAGGGUAAGUCGGCCCCUAAGGCGAGGACGAAGGUCGUAGUCGAUGGGAAAUCGGUUCAUAUUCCGAUACCUUUUAUAAUUUCGAUGGCAGGACGCAUGAGGUGAAACCCGGCCGGCUAACGGAUGCCGGUCAAAGUAAGCGAGCCGUUAAAAAGGAUGAAUAGGCAAAUCCGUCAUCCAAGGUAAGCUGCGACAGCGAGUGAAACUAAGGUGGAGCGAAGCGGGCGUAAUCAAGGUGCCGGGAAAUACUGUCUAAGGUUAGGUUAUAAAAGACCGUACCGUAAACCGACACAGGUAGAUGGGAUGAGAAAUCUAAGGCGCUCGAGAGAACUCGCGUUAAGGAAUUCGGCAAAAUGCACACGUAACUUCGGAAAAAGUGUGGCCUCCUUUUUUUAAAAGUUGAGGAGGCGGCAGAAAGCAGGCCCAGGCGACUGUUUAUCAAAAACACAGCCAUCUGCGAACCAGCAAUGGGACGUAUAGGUGGUGACACCUGCCCGGUGCCGGAAGGUUAAGAGGAGAGGUUAGCAGCAAUGUGAAGCUUUGAAUUGAAGCCCCGGUAAACGGCGGCCGUAACUAUAACGGUCCUAAGGUAGCGAAAUUCCUUGUCGGGUAAGUUCCGACCCGCACGAAUGGUGUAACGAUUCUGGGCACUGUCUCAACGCGAGACUCGGUGAAAUUUAUAUACCGGUAAAGAAGCCGGUUACCCAUAGUUAGACGGAAAGACCCCGUGAACCUUCACCGCAACUUAUUAUUGGGACUUGGUUUAUCAUGUGUAGAAUAGGUGGAAGGCUAUGAAGCUUGGCCGUUAGGUUGAGUGGAGCCGGCAAGUGAAAUACCACCCUUGAUAAAUCAGGUUUCUAACUCUUCCCGUGAAGCCGGGAUGGGGACAGUGAUAGGCAGGCGGUUUGACUGGGGCGGUCGCCUCCUAAAGAGUAACGGAGGUGCGCGAAGGUCUCCUCACGCCGGUUGGAAAUCGGCGCAGCGAGUGUAAAGGCACAAGGAGGCUUAACUGCGAGAGUGACAGCUCGAGCAGAUACGAAAGUAGGUCUUAAUGAUCUGGCGGUAGCGAGUGGAAGCGCCGUCACUUAACGGAUAAAAGGUACUCCGGGGAUAACAGGCUGAUAUUCCCCAAGAGUUCACAUCGACGGGAAUGUUUGGCACCUCGAUGUCGGCUCAUCGCAUCCUGGGGCUGAAGCAGGUCCCAAGGGUUUGGCUGUUCGCCAAUUAAAGCGGUACGUGAGCUGGGUUCAGAACGUCGCGAGACAGUUCGGUCCCUAUCUGCUAUGGGCGUUGGAUACGUGAGAGGAGCUGUUUUUAGUACGAGAGGACCGAAAUGGACGAACCUCUGGUGUACCGGUUAUCCUGCCAAGGGUAAUUGCCGGGUAGCUAUCGUUCGGAAGGGAUAACCGCUGAAGGCAUCUAAGUGGGAAGCCCGCCUCAAGACUACGUAUCCCUGAGGGUUUAACCCUCCUAAAGACUCCUUGCACACUACAAGGUUGAUAGGUUGGAGGUCUAAGCACAGUAAUGUGUUAAGCCGACCAAUACUAAUAAGUCGUGAGGCUUGACCAUAU
rnacentral:rRNA from 1 species